rnacentral:rRNA from 1 species
CCUACGGGGGGCAGCAGUGAGGAAUAUUGGUCAAUGGCCGGAAGGCUGAACCAGCCAAGCCGCGUGAAGGACGAAGGUGCCAAGCAUUGUAAACUUCUUUUGUCAAGGGACAAAAUCAGGCUCGAGAGCCUGACCGAGGGUACUUGAAGAAAAAGCACCGGCUAACUCCGUGCCAGCAGCCGCGGUAAUACGGAGGGUGCGGGCGUUAUCCGGAUUUAUUGGGUUUAAAGGGUGCGUAGGCGGACUGUUAAGUCAGCGGUAAAAGCCCUGGGGUAAACCCCGGCGGGAGGUGGAAACUGGCUUGCUGGAGUGGGAGGGAGGGAUGCGGAAUGCGCGGUGGAGCGGUGAAAUGCUUAGAUAUUGCGAAGAACCGCGAUGGCGAAGGCAGCAUACGGGCGGGGUUCUGACGCUGAAGUGCGAAGGCGUGGGUAUCGAACAGGAUUAGAUACCCGGGUAGUC